ACCAGCGGCAAGAGUGCAUUGAAUGCACCAGUUCUAGUUCCCAAUGGAUCAGCGAAGUUAAGCAACCUUCCACGUGGUUGGUACCGGAAUGGGUGACCAUCUAGGUGUUGGCGAGCCGGGUC
rnacentral:rRNA from 1 species